UCCGCUUGACACUCUCUCUCCUUUCGAGAGCUCCUCUCUCCUAGGGUUCGUUGGUAUCGUCUCUUCGCUCGGACUCAGCUCAUCCCUCCUUCACCGCCACCAGUAUCGGGUUUUCCUCCACCGCCACCAUGCCUCUUUUCUUUUUCCUCCUCCUCUACCGCACAGAAGGCGGGAGCGAGCAACCUGAGGCCAUUAUUUCUCUGUUUUGAGUUUUGGGUUUCGUCCACCAUGGUCCGGCACUUUCGGCCGCAGAGUCUCAUAACCCCAAGCUCUUGCUAUUACCACAAGAAGCUGGAGGAUCUAACAGCGAGGCAGACAGAUGGAGCUCCACUCACAGGCAGCAGAGAAUUCAGAAGCCUCAACAAAUUUGGGUGUCUGGGUCUUUGUGAGAAAGGUCAUCAGCAAAAAAACGGGAACUGAGAUCCACAUGCUAAGGGGUUUCAGUAGCAGUCAACCCCUUCUAUCCAAACUCCCACUUGGUUAUCAUCACACAAAAGGUUCUAAACUGAACGACGUCUGCUACUUAAUCGACAAAGUGGGAGAUAUAGCUCAGAAACAGAAAACAGGGGUUUGUAAAACAAACUUCUUCUUCAGUUGCGACAGAUAGAAGAAGAAGUAUAGCAGCGGAAGGUUUCGGUGAUUCUUCAGCCACGAUUCAACAGCAGCACCUGCGACAAAAUAGAAGAGAAAAAGGAAGAAGCAAGAGUAAAAUUGAUUUUGGGGGUUUGCUUCUGAGAGACGCACAGUUGAUUUCUCAACUUCACAUUUAGAUGAAUAGAGGCUGGGCUAUAUAGACCGCCUCUCAGGGUUUCCCCAAAUCCCAGCUACGGUUAUGGCAUGAAGAUUUAUGUUAUAGAGGGAAAGGGAUCGGGCUCAAGGCCACUACCCAACAGGUAGCUGGAACGUGAAAAAGAUGAUAGUUACAAGUGACAUGGUAUUGGUGGUCCAGCAGGAAGGUUUUUUCUAAAUCACUGGGAUCAUUCACAUUACAUUGAAGAACUGGCUUUAUACCAUGAAUAUUAUUACAAUCACGGCCUGGCCUAUUUAGGGAAAUUGCACAGUGCUGAUUCUUAAUAGUAAUUAAAUAGGAUAAUAUUACGUAGCAUGAUUAGCGAUCUUACUGGAUAGCUGGUGACUCUCUCCUAUGCAACAGAUCUUCAUGACAUAAGGAAAAUAGAAUGCAGAAGCAUUUGAUGCAAUAUGUCAGCAAAUCAG